GCACAGGGGAAAGCCCGUUGUAUUUUAGUAACAUUGUUUAGCUUCAUUUUUACCUAUAUAAAUAAUACCUGGAUACGGUCGUAUUAUAAAAAAUUCGCGUGAUAAAGUUGGGGCUAAAGUCCCCGUUGCCCGCCACCCCCGGACGUAAGAGACUGAUCGCAUCAGGCAUGCGUCCUUUAGAGGCCUCCUAUGCAGUGACACGGGGCCUCCUGUGGACCAGGCUAUGCGCAGAGUUCACAAUCAGGUUUGGGGCCUGGGCCUCACGCUCCCAGAGGUAAGUGAGUCAAGGAGGCUGGCUCCUGCGCAUCUGCCACCCUCGGGCGCCCCACGAGGCUGUGACUCAGUGACUCACUCCCCUGCACCAGGAAUCCAUCACAGGUGGCUGACUCAUGCCAGCACACGCUGAGCUGAAGAAAGCAAAGACGAUGCUUUUAGAGCCUGUGACUGAGGAACCGACGUCAGUGUCUCUGAUGGAUUUUAAAAACACACAGAUGGAGCCAGGCGCCAAACCCCAGCCCAUUCUGCCCUCCUCCUGCGGGGCUGGGUGAUUAAGCGAGGGGUCAGGGCUGCCGGGGGCUGCUGGUGCAGCUCGGAACACGUGAACUCUGACAUCUGGCUGCUGGCCAACUUCCUGAUGGAUGGAUAAGGAGGCCACAGGGCAAGGGUGAGCCUGACACUGGGAGAUAAAGGGCUGGGGGCCAGCCACCAACCUCGCCUGCCCUUCAGUGCAGCUGGCUUUCUCAUCUGAGCACCCUGGACUGAGUUUCUCGAAGGUGAGCAAACCACGGCUCAGAAAGGCUAAAUUGCCCAGAGCCAUCUAACCAGCGAGCGUCGUAGCCAGGAUUCUCGACCACAGGGCCCACCGCGCCUGGUUUCCUCCUGCCUGUCACCUGCUCCUUGUCCUACCUUCUGUCACUCUGCUCCCCAUCUCCCUACUUCUAAACCCUGGAGCGCACCAAAACUCAGCGCUCACACCGCAUUCCUACAGCGUCCUGACCUUCUUCCAUUUCUGGUGCCAUCGACCCUUUGCCAGUCUGGUGACGCCUAUAUUUUAAAUGCUUAGAAUGUUCUGAAAGCAUAAAAUACAUAGGAUCACAAAGGAAAAAAAUGAUAUUUAAACAGAAUUAAAAUAUUUUAAAAAAUA